rnacentral:rRNA from 1 species
UACGAAGGGUGCAAACGUUGCUCGGAAUUAUUGGGCGUAAAGCGCACGUAGGCGGCUUUUGUAAGUUGGAUGUGAAAAACCCUCGGCUCAACCAAGGAAGUGCAUCCAAAAACUGCGAAGCUUUGAGUACUUAAAGAGGAUCGCGGAAUUCCCGGUGUAGAGGUGAAAAUUCGUAGAUAUCGGGGAGGAACACCAGUGGCGAAGGCGGCGAUCUGGGGAAAGAUACUGACGCUGAGGUGCGAAAAGCGUGGGGGGAGCAAAACAGG